rnacentral:misc_RNA from 1 species
GUAAUCCACCUGGCAUCCUCCAGAAUGAACUUGUAGAUCCUAUACCUAAACUCUUUAAAGUGAUCAUUAGAAGGCUGAUAAGAUGGCAUGUUCUCCCUCCAACCUGUGUACCUGAUAGUUGUAUUGUUAAUAUUUAUGACGAGGGGGACUGUAUACCUCCACAUAUUGACAACCAUGAUUUUGUUCGGCCUUUCUGCACUGUGUCAUUUGUCAGUGAGUGCAAUAUAGUAUUUGGAUCAAACUUAAAGGUUGUUGGUGCUGGCGAGUUUACUGGAUCAAUUGCA